UACCAGCAAUGCAAAACCAAAUCCCAUUAGCGUGGCCUACGAUAUAAGUUCGCGCUAACUUUUGCGCUGACAUGGCUCAGAAAUGGAGACAAAACCUAUGAAAUGACGAAGCAUGGAAUACCCUCAUGACUGCCUAAACAUCUGGUAUUUAAGGUGAUGCGUCCCAGAACUUAGCACUUUCAAUUAAGAAUCCACCAUGUUACACAAUGCCUGUCAAAAUUUGUAUAUCCUUAGCGAAAGGGUAUUGCAAACAGCAAUCCUAGGGGCUUGGCUUGUGUUUAGCUGUUUGACAUUUGCCUGCGGGUCAGAGUGCAUCCAUCCAGGAGCGAAGGUCGUGGUGAUAAGCUGUAAAUAUCGAUUGGAAUUAUCAGCUGCAGUCCAUCAAUAUUUUCUGCGGCCAUCCGCUUAGUGCCUAUAAAUACAAACUUCAAGCAGAGUUCGAGCAGCAUAUGCUGCCAAUCGGAGAGUAAGAGGAAGAAGAGCUCACCAAUUCGGACUGGGCUCAAUUUGAUUGCGUUCACAUUGAAACUUCGAGGCAAAGUUUUGAACGAAGACAAACUUUUGUGUAAGCGAUAUAUCAAACCGAAGGCCAGCGCCAAAAUAAAUAGCUAAAUAUUAAAAGCAA